rnacentral:ncRNA from 1 species
ACCGCCAGAACCUUGGCGAUAUAGGGAAUCAGCGGCAGGUUCAGAACCAGCAGGAUCAGGUUGCCCAGAUACAUCGAGAUGAUCACGGCCCAGAAGAUCUGCGGCUCGUCGAUCAUCAGGCGCGGGCC